CCUACGGGAUGCACCAGUGGUGAAUAUUGGACAAUGGGCGAAAGCCUGAUCCAGCAAUGCCGCGUGUGCGAAGAAGGUCUUCGGAUUGUAAAGCACUUUCGACGGGGACGAUGAUGACGGUACCCGUAGAAGAAGCCCCGGCUAACUUCGUGCCAGCAGCCGCGGUAAUACGAAGGGGGCUAGCGUUGCUCGGAAUGACUGGGCGUAAAGGGCGCGUAGGCGGUUUAUGCAGUCAGAUGUGAAAUCCCCGGGCUUAACCUGGGAACUGCAUUUGAGACGCAUAGACUAGAGGUCGAGGGAGGGUUGUGGAAUUCCCAGUGUAGAGGUGGAAUUCGUAGAUAUUGGGAAGAACACCGGUGGCGAAGGCGGCAACCUGGCUCGAUACUGACGCUGAGGCGCGAAAGCGUGGGGGGCAAACAGGAUUAGAUACCCCGGUAGUC
rnacentral:rRNA from 1 species